rnacentral:rRNA from 1 species
CUUCGGGGUACACGAGCGGCGAACGGGUGAGUAACACGUGGGUGACCUGCCCCCUACUCUGGGAUAAGCCUGGGAAACUGGGUCUAAUACCGGAUAUGACACAGUCUCGCAUGGGGUUGUGUGGAAAGCCAGUUACUUAGGUUUCUGGCGGUGGGGGAUGGGCCCGCGGCUAUCAGCUUGUUGGUGGGGUGAUGGCCUACCAAGGCGACGACGGGUAGCCGGCCUGAGAGGGCGACCGGCCACACUGGGACUGAGACACGGGCCAGACUCCUACGGGAGGCAGCAGUGGGGAAUAUUGCGCAAUGGGCGGAAGCCUGACGCAGCGACGCCGCGUGGGGGAUGACGGCCUUCGGGUUGUAAACCUCUUUCGGCCCCGACGAAGCGUGAGUGACGGUAGGGGUAGAAGAAGCACCGGCCAACUACGUGCCAGCAGCCGCGGUAAUACGUAGGGUGCGAGCGUUGUCCGGAAUUAUUGGGCGUAAAGAGCUCGUAGGCGGUGUGUCGCGUCGGCCGUGAAAACCUGCAGCUUAACUGUGGGCUUGCGGUCGAUACGGGCAUUACUGGAGUUCGGCAGGGGAGACUGGAAUUCCUGGUGUACGGUGAAAUGCGCAGAUAUCAGGAGGAACACCGGUGGCGAAGGCGGGUCUCUGGGCCGAUACUGACGCUGAGGAGCGA